rnacentral:rRNA from 1 species
GGGGGAUAUUGCGCAAUGGGGGCAACCCUGACGCAGCAACGCCGCGUGAAGGAUGAAGGUUUUCGGAUUGUAAACUUCUUUUAUUAAGGACGAAAAAUGACGGUACUUAAUGAAUAAGCUCCGGCUAACUACGUGCCAGCAGCCGCGGUAAUACGUAGGGAGCAAGCGUUGUCCGGAUUUACUGGGUGUAAAGGGUGCGUAGGCGGCUUUGCAAGUCAGAUGUGAAAUCUAUGGGCUCAACCCAUAAACUGCAUUUGAAACUGUAGAGCUUGAGUGAAGUAGAGGCAGGCGGAAUUCCCCGUGUAGCGGUGAAAUGCGUAGAGAUGGGGAGGAACACCAGUGGCGAAGGCGGCCUGCUGGGCUUUAACUGACGCUGAGGCACGAAAGCGUGGGUAGCAAACAGGAUUAGAUACCCUGGUAGUCCACGCUGUAAACGAUGAUUACUAGGUGUGGGGGGUCUGACCCCUUCCGUGCCGGAGUUAACACAAUAAGUAAUCCACCUGGGGAGUACGGCCGCAAGGUUGAAACUCAAAGGAAUUGACGGGGGCCCGCACAAGCAGUGGAGUAUGUGGUUUAAUUCGAAGCAACGCGAAGAACCUUACCAGGUCUUGACAUCCAACUAACGAAGUAGAGAUACAUUAGGUGCCCUUCGGGGAAAGUUGAGACAGGUGGUGCAUGGUUGUCGUCAGCUCGUGUCGUGAGAUGUUGGGUUAAGUCCCGCAACGAGCGCAACCCUUGCUAUUAGUUGCUACGCAAGAGCACUCUAAUAGGACUGCCGUUGACAAAACGGAGGAAGGUGGGG